rnacentral:lncRNA from 1 species
CCGACCCUAUGCAUGCAUGGAAUAUAUAUCCCUAUGCAUUCAUUAGAUUUACAUGAAGUCAAAUAAAAUCCAAAUUCUACAUUGAAUAAAACAAACCUGGAGCUGCAUUUUGCCACGGAGCACGAUUUACUUCCUAAAUCCGACGGUCAUCAAUUUUCCAACUGACAAACAAACCAUGUUGUAAUAGAAUAGGUCUCCUCCAUCGCACCC